rnacentral:lncRNA from 1 species
UUCCGUCAAAACUGAUCAUUGAUUUAUUUGUAAAGAUUCACAGCUCCAUUAGGCAUCAUAACAUGAUUGUCAUGAUAGUCCAUGAGUCUUACUAUACGAUUUUCAUUUUCCUGCCAAUUGUACGAUACGAUUGACAAGGGAUGAGUUUGUUUGUGGGCCGGGAAUACUUCUGUUUCGUACUAAUACGUUUAUGCAUUUCCAUUUCUAUAUAAACUCUUUUCUACUGGAUCAAUUUGUGUCCAUUUCCCAUCUCAUUAUCAAUUACCAUUUCUAUAUCAACAAACGCAAUGUGAAAAAAUAUUAGGUGCAAUCAUGAUGCCACAUCGUCCAUGCAGUUGUCUAUUCAAUGGAUGACAUGUGUUUAAGGCAUCAUAACAUGAUUGUCCAUGAGUCGUAUUAUACGAUUUUCAUUUUCCUACCAAUUGUACCGUACAAUUGACGAGGGAUGAUUUUGUUUGUGGACCGGGAAUACUUUUGUUUCGUACUAAUACGUUUAUGCAUUUAUAAACUCCUUUCUACUGGAUCAGUUUGUGUCCAUUUCCCAUCUCAUUAUCAAUAACCAUUUCUGUAUUGA